rnacentral:ncRNA from 1 species
AAAAAUCUUACUAACUAUAUUUGUUUUACAAUUUGUACUAUAGAUAAAAUCUUAAGUACAGCCACUCUGCUCGAAGUGGUACAGCGGUCUAGCGACUGGUGUUAUGAAUUGAAGCAAGGUGCGAAACGACCUAUAACAGUUUUGGAGGUACUCUGUGCGGGUAUUCUAACAACGAUAUAAUUUAGAAAGUAAGCUAAAUCGGGACUUCUGGGGCGGAGUACAGAAGAAUAGACGAACUAGUCUAUGUUAGAAUAAGU